UGGUGGCUCAGUGGUUAGAGCGUUAGCUCUCGGGCUGAAGGGUCUCAGGUUCGAUUCCUGGUCA
rnacentral:tRNA from 1 species